rnacentral:rRNA from 1 species
CCAAUAGCGUAUAUUAAAGUUGUUGCAGUUAAAAAGCUCGUAGUUGAAUUUCGGGGUUAGUAGGUUGGUCAUGCCUCUGGUAUGUACUGGUCUCACUGAUUCCUCCUUCCUGAUGAGACGUAAUGCCAUUAAUUUGGUGUUGCGGGGAAUUUGGACUGUUACUUUGAAAAAAUUAGAGUGUUUAAAGCAAGCUAACGCUUGAAUACAUUAGCAUGGAAUAAUGAAAUAGGACGUUCGAUCCUAUUUUGUUGGUUUCUAGGAUUGACGUAAUGAUUAAUAGGGAUAGUUGGGGGCAUUAGUAUUCAAUUGUCAGAGGAGAAAUUCUUGGAUUUAUUGAAGACUAACUACUGCGAAAGCAUUUGCCAAGGAUGUUUUCAUUAAUCAAGAACGAAAGUUAGGGGAUCGAAGACGAUCAGAUACCGUCGUAGUCUUAACCAUAAACUAUGCCGACUAGGGAUCGGAUGAUGUUAAUUUUUUAAUGACUCAUUCGGCGCCUUACG